AUCCUUUUGUGGUUUAUAAGUGUGAUGAUUGGGUGUUCACGCUCUUGUAUGAGAUGUGCCUCCCUCAAACCUUGUUAUGACAUCAGCACAUCACCUGUCUGACG
ensembl:snoRNA